rnacentral:rRNA from 1 species
GGGCCCGCACAAGCAGCGGAGCAUGUGGUUUAAUUCGAAGCAACGCGAAGAACCUUACCUAGACUUGACAUCUCCUGAAUUACUCUUAAUCGGAGGAAGCCCUUCGGGGCAGGAAGACAGGUGGUGCAUGGUUGUCGUCAGCUCGUGUCGUGAGAUGUUGGGUUAAGUCCCGCAACGAGCGCAACCCUUAUUGUUAGUUGCUACCAUUUAGUUGAGCACUCUAGCGAGACUGCCCGGGUUAACCGGGAGGAAGGUGGGGAUGACGUCAAAUCAUCAUGCCCCUUAUGUCUAGGGCUACACACGUGCUACAAUGGCUGGUACAGAGAGAUGCUAAACCGCGAGGUGGAGCCAAACUUUAAAACCAGUCUCAGUUCGGAUUGUAGGCUGAAACUCGCCUACAUGAAGCUGGAGUUGCUAGUAAUCGCGAAUCAGAAUGUCGCGGUGAAUACGUUCCCGGGCCUUGUACACACCGCCCGUCACACCAUGAGAGUUGGCAAUACCCAAAGUUCGUGAGCUAACGCGUAAGCGAGGCAGCGACCUAAGGUAGGGUCAGCGAUUGGGGUGAAGUCGUAACAAGGUAGCCGUAGGAGAACCUGCGGCU